GAUGCCGGAAGAUCUUCUUUACUCAGGAGGAACUAACAUUCAUGCAAGGUUUAUGACAGCUACGUCAGACGUUCCCACGGGCACUUUAAUUCUACUCUGACAUAUAUCAUACCCAUUCAAACCUAGUUUCGUCUGCUCUAAGCUGUUCUCCUUUUCACCAGGUACCUCUGCGGCAGAUGGGGUAACAAUGGCUUUUGAUGUGAGAAAGAGUCUGUUAUUCCAUUUCAAAGGUGCAGGUAAACAGAUCUUGUACAGGGGACACAGCAGCAAACGCAUAGGGUCUGAACUCGCCCCAGAAAUGGGCAAAUGAUACUCCCCUCGACAGAGGAAAACAACCCAGGCACACAGGUGGCGUGGCAGACUCAGAAUCUUAACAGCAACUUGGAAAAUCACGACACCUGAGAAACCGCCUCGGGAGACACACCCGUUGGCUACAGGUCCAUUGAAGGACAAGCUUUCAGAGAGACCACAAAAGUACGAAAAGGAAAUUCAUGUUUAGAACACGUCUCCAAAUUCCACUGAGAGAUGAUUGCAGACGAAAGAUCAGAGAAUUUGAGCCUCGUGGCGGCAUUAUUAUUUUGUAGAGGCCCAGCUUCUUUGUCCCACCGGGUACUCAUCUUCUCCUUUCUGCCCCAUUUCACGCUGGAGAUGGGCAGCUUCACGGAUCAGAAUCUGACAGGGCACCGACCUAGACCAAGGCGGCCGUAUGUUCCACACUGCAGACCGAGGGCAUCACGGAAGCUGGUGACAGAGGCAAAGUACAUUAUUAAAAGAUCUUCCCCUCCCACUGAGUGUUGGUAAAACUAGAGGGGGGAGAAAUCCUCAAGUACGUUUCCUUUCGCGUCUUUAUUCUGGAUUAUGAUCUACACAGAGACUAAGAAGAAAGACAACAGGGGUGAUCAAGUAAAGCACACGAAAUAGCUGGAGAUACUAUUGUCCCCCAAAAUCUGGACACAAGACAUAUGGCAGAAUAAAGUGGACUAUUAAAAAAAAACAAAAACGGUUACCCCGGGAGAGAUGAACAGUGAAGGCAGUGAUCUCAGAAGUUCUUAGUAAGUCAGAAAGUCACCUGGAAAAGGAGGCCUUCCAAACCGUUACUCACUCUAAGGACUGGUGUUCCAGAGGACUGGCAGGCUUCUUGACCGUCCCUCUCACUGUGGUGUCUGGCCCUGAGAGCUGGCUUCCUGUAGGCCUAGCUUCUGACACAUGGAGGUACCAGUGGUUGAACUCUGGACACCCAGCAUCACGAGAAUUGACUCAUGUAGCAUGAAUAACACCCAGGAAGGGCAAUAGGGUUAAACAGUUUCCUUCGUCAUCUCAGAUCCCCGCUCGCCUGGAGACAAGGCUACGGGCCUCGCACGUUGUGCCCGCGGGAGCUGGGCAGCAGGCAGGUGGGGCCAGUUCCUUCUUCCCUUGCUGUAGAUCAAGUUGCAAAGUCAACAAGACUGGUGUAAGCGGCUGCCUACACUCACACUGCCCGACACGGAACUGCAGCAGGAAAACCCAGGAAGAAACGGAGGGAGGUUAUUACAACCAAGACCUUUUCACCUCAAGGUAAGGAGACAAAAAGACACUGUUUAAAUCUUAGCAAACACUUAAAGUACUUUAUUUCCUUGGUAGUUUUUGCCAACUUAACUCCCCUACAGAGAUUGCUUCUACGUCCUCUCAAGCCCUCCAAGAGUAGGCUGAAAAAUCUUGCAUAGUGUUUUCUUAAAGGAAACCAGGGUAUUUGAUCCAACAGGCCUGAAACCGCCCCCCCCCCCCACCUCCUUUGCCCACUCGCCGUCACUACCAACAAAGAUGUCAAUUCGGUACCUGAAAUUUUACGCUUUUAAAUCCAAAGAGUAAGUCUGAGUAAAAAUAAUUCAAGAUAUUCGUAUUGAGAUUUUAGGCAGAUGCUGAGACAUUUGGGUCAAAAUAAACCCAAAGCAGAAAAAAAAAAAAUCCAAUGAAAGACAACUUUCUGGAGUUUUUAUUUUAUAAGGGCAAGAAAAUGUGUCCAAGAAGCCAUUGUUUCUGAGAAAAGUUUAUUAGCUUGUCAUGGAUUCUGCCAACUAAGCUGUCUGCCCAGUGCUGACAAUGCGGUUAGCCAGCAGAUGACAGCCCCUGUCAGGAGAUGAACGCCCCCAGCAACAGCUGUGCUCCAGCACCAGCCAGUUUGGAGGCCCCCCAGCCAGAAAAUACCCGUUGAAAUUAAACCCAGUGGUACUUCUGGCUGAGCUUCUAGAAGCCCCCAAGAAGGUGCCUGAGAAGGAGGCUGUGGUCCCACACAAUGAUGGCUCUUUAUAAGACACAGAAGAACCACGUGUGGCACUGAGCGAGGACCCCGCCCCCACGGGGCUUCAGUGAGUUUUGGUUCACACACAGCGAGCACCACGGAGGGUCCGCACGUGGGAAGGCGCAAUCAGAGGUAUUAACCCUCCCGAUUAUAAGAGCUCGGCUUUCCUCGCAAGUAUCCUCAAGGAGAGCGACAAAACCACCAAUCGAAGCAAUUAUUGCUCUUAAGUUUAUUCUCCUUCUUAACAACCAAGUAAUCUGAAGCUCAGUGGUUCCUUAGUCCUCCUUCUCCCCACCCAACCUUCUCCUCCCCCUCCCCCCACCGCAACACACACACACACACACACACACACACACAACGUUCCCCUCCCUCCUCUGUCCCUCAACCCACCCACUCUGCUGUUGAUUUUUCUCCCCCGGAACACCACCCCCACCACCUAACUGAGCCCCAGGCCUUGGGACUCUGCUGCCUAGACUGUAAAUCUGGCCAGCGCAGAGAACAGCAAACAAAGAAUCAACUGUGAGAACUGACAGCUCAAGGACUUGGGCAGUGGGUCUGCAAGGCCACCCCAUACACCUCAAAAUGACAGAGGGCAGGGCGGCAGUGGCCCCAAGACAGCUCAGCUGGGCUGCUGCUCCAAUGAACAAAAUGAGGCAGAAAUAAAAGCACCUGGGACAUGGGUUUGCAACACUGGCAUCAAUAUUACCACAAAAAUCUCUAUAAUUCCUUCUCAGAUAGGAACAGAAAUGGAAAAAAAAAAAAUGAAGGAAGGAGGAAGGGAGGAAGGGG